AUUGAACGCUGGCGGCAGGCUUAACACAUGCAAGUCGAGCGGGGAAGGUUGCUUCGGUAACUGACCUAGCGGCGGACGGGUGAGUAAUGCUUAGGAAUCUGCCUAUUAGUGGGGGACAACGUUCCGAAAGGAACGCUAAUACCGCAUACGCCCUACGGGGGAAAGCAGGGGAUCUUCGGACCUUGCGCUAAUAGAUGAGCCUAAGUCGGAUUAGCUAGUUGGUGGGGUAAAGGCCUACCAAGGCGACGAUCUGUAGCGGGUCUGAGAGGAUGAUCCGCCACACUGGGACUGAGACACGGCCCAGACUCCUAUGGGAGGCAGCAGUGGGGAAUAUUGGACAAUGGGCGGAAGCCUGAUCCAGCCAUGCCGCGUGUGUGAAGAAGGCCUUUUGGUUGUAAAGCACUUUAAGCGAGGAGGAGGCUCCUUUAGUUAAUACCUAAAGAGAGUGGACGUUACUCGCAGAAUAAGCACCGGCUAACUCUGUGCCAGCAGCCGCGGUAAGAC
rnacentral:rRNA from 1 species